rnacentral:misc_RNA from 1 species
GAUGAAGAACGUAGCGAAAUGCGAUAAGUAAUGCGAAUUGCAGAAUCCGUGAGUCAUCGAAUCUUUGAACGCACAUUGCGCCCGCCAGUAUUCUGGCGGGCAUGCCUGUUCGAGCGUCAUUUCAACCAUCAAGCCCUGCUUGCGUUGGGGUCCUGCGGCUGCCCGCAGGCCCUGAAAACCAGUGGCGGGCUCGCUAGUCACACCGAGCGCAGUAAUACAUCUCGCUUUGGGCGUGCGGCGGGUUCUUGCCGUUAAACACCCCCUUUUUACCAAGGUUGACCUCGGAUCAGGUAGGAAUACCCGCUGAACUUAAGCAUAUCAAUAAGCGGAGGA